GAGCAUGCGAGCUACACAUGCAGUCGGGCGGGUAACAGGGGAGAGCUUGCUUCUCUGCUGACGAGCGGCGGACGGGUGAGUAAUGUAUGGGGAUCUGCCUGAUGGCGGGGGAUAACUACUGGAAACGUAGCUAAUACCGCAUAAUGUCUACGGACCAAAGCGGGGGACCUCCGGGCCUCGCGCCAUCGGAUGAACCCAUAUGGGAUUAGCUUGUAGGUGAGGUAACGGCUCACCUAGGCGACGAUCCCUAGCUGUCUGAGAGGAUGAUCAGCCACACUGGGACUGAGACACGGCCCAGACUCCUACGGGAGGCAGCAGUGGGGAAUAUUGCACAAUGGGCGCAAGCCUGAUGCAGCCAUGCCGCGUGUAUGAAAAAGGCCUCGGGUUGUAAAGUACUUUCAGUCGGGAGGAAGGUGGUGAGUUUAAUACACGUCAUCGAUUGACGGUUACCUGACAGAAUAAAGCACCGGGCUAACUCCGUGGCCAGCAGCCCGCGGGUAAUACGGAAGGUGGCAAGCGUUUAAUCGGAAAUUACCUGGGCGUAAAGCGCACGUCAGGCGGGUUGAUUGAGAUCAGAUGUGAAAAUCCCCGGGGCUUUAACCUCGGGAAAUUGCAUUCUUGUAUACUGCGUCAGCUAGAAGUCUUUGUAGAAGGGGGGGUAGAAAUUCCCAUGUGGUAGCAGGUGAAAAUGCGUUAGAAGAUGUGGGAGGAAAUACCCGGUGGGCGAAAGGCAGGCCCCCCUUGGGACAAAUAACUGAACGCUCAGACUGCGAAAAG
rnacentral:rRNA from 1 species